rnacentral:rRNA from 1 species
UACGUAGGGGGCAAGCGUUGUCCGGAUUUAUUGGGGCGUAAAGAGCGUGUAGGCGGCUUUACAGGUCCGUUGUGAAAACUCGAGGCUCAACCUCGAGACGCCGGUGGAAACCGUAAAGCUAGAGUCCGGAAGAGGAGAGUGGAAUUCCUGGUGUAGCGGUGAAAUGCGCAGAUAUCAGGAAGAACACCCGUGGCGAAGGCGGCUCUCUGGGACGGUACUGACGCUGAGACGCGAAAGCGUGGGGGAGCGAACAGG